GCGUCUGAAGUAGCCUUGACUCGGAGGCGACGCUCUAGCAGGCGGCCCAUCUGCCUCUGUGUUGAUGGAGAUGAUUUUCCUGCACAAAGUUGCUCUCAUCAUCAAAGAAGCAGCAAGAAAAUCCUGUGAACUUUGAAAAUCCUGCCAGCCUCCUGCUACUUCUUGCCGCGAGGGAAGAAGUGCGAGUGUGGAGAGAUGCACAAAGAUUCCUGCCCACUCACCGCAGAUGGGAUUUUAUUUGAUUUCAUUCGAUGCAAGAUAAAAGACACUGAGACCCAAACAGUGAAGUGGAGGAACUCAGGGUCUGAAGAGAGGCAGUGACAAGAGAUGCUCCUGUAACUUAGGUGACCUAUCUCCUGGUUAGCCCUGCGACUGAAGAAUGGCCCAGGACCAGCGGCAUCGAUGAAACCCGUGUCAAUGCUGGGAACCAUGAUGAGGUUAAUGUGUGCUUGGCCAGAGGACUCCCAAAUCCUGACCUUCUCAGCCAUCCCUCUCUACACGGUCCUGUUGACUGACAAAGCAAAACUUCAGUGCUGACUAGGUCCCUGAUCCCUAAACCCAGUGCAAUCUCUGGCAGGGCAAUGCUCAGGAAGCUGCCUAUAAAGAAAGCCAAGACAAACUGAACUCUGUCUAAAACGAGGGAAGUGGAGAAGGAAGACAAAAAAAAAAGAGGAGGACAAGGUGUUUUAACUUUCUGGAUUGGUACUUUAUUUUACACGUAUGGUUUUAUGUAUUUUUUGUAACAUCCCAAAGAGCACAGCAAUGAAGGACAGAAGCCCUGAUAUCUGAUUCCUUGGGUGUGAAGGUUGGUUCUUCAAUCUCUAUGCUGUCUGAUUUUGGUCAAAUUACUCUAACAUCUUUCUUCCCUACUUCUCUCUUCUAUAAAAUGGGUAUCUUAAUUGCACCUAGCUCAUGGUGGGUGGUGAAUUUUCAUCAGCUUACUUCAUAUAUAAAGCACAGAGGAUGAUGGCUAGAAUAUACCAAGCACUCAAGGAGACAGUAUCAAUGUCAUAGAUAUACUAAUCUAUUCCUUUGUGAUUUCUCACAUGGCUUUUAUGCUCACAAGUCUACAUCCACAGAAAAACUAAAAUGUAUUCCCUUAUACAUUGUUUUAUUUUCCUCAUUAUUUAAUUACUUAUUCACUUUUUAUGUUUAACUCUUUAAUUCACAAAAAUUUAUUUCAGUAUAUGGUAAGAGGUAUGCUAACUUGAUUUCUCCCUAAAGUAUUAAGUGUUCCCCCUUGUCAAUUAAUCCACCUUAUCUCAUUGGUUUGUAUAGUCCCUUUAUCAUUUACCAAGUUUUUACAUACACUUGGAUCUACUUUUAGAUUAACCAUUCUAUCCUGCUGUUCGGCCCUUUGAUUUCUAUCCUAGCGCCAUACUGCAAAAAUGAGUAUAGUUUUACUGUUUACUAGGUCAUUUCUGAUCUCAUCAUUUCUGUUUUCAGCUAUGAAGUAGUCCAGGUGAUUAUAUAAACCAUUUUAAUGUUAAAAAUAUAAUUGGGGUUUUGAGUAGGAUUAUACCCUUUCUAAAUUGAUUUAGGGGGAUCAGACACUUUUGAACUAUUUUGUUUCUUCAUUUACAAAAUCUUUUAUAUCUCUCUAAAGAUUUUAGUUUUUUCACAAAGCUUUCCACGUAUUUCUUAAUAUGAUUAGCAGAUAACAUUUUGUUACUAGCUGUGAAAAGAAUUUUUUCCCCUGGUACAAUGAGAUGCAGGAGGGAACAUGUUAUGGUCACCUUCCUCACCUUAACCUGAGUUUUUUCUUUCACAGAAUCUCUGUGUAUACUUUUUUGUAAUAUAUUUAUCUGAAUCAGGAACUACUUGCCAAACAUCAUUUAAACGUGCAAUAAGAAUAUUGUUUCUAAAAGUCAUGUUUCCUAUUAAUUCAACACAUUUUCAUGGUGUCUCAACUAUACCCAUUCUUCCUUGCAGACAGAAAUGGUCUCUGUUGGAGAGCUGACAUUAGAGAACUGAUUUCAUCACAGCUUGAUAAGUAUUACGGCGAAUGGCUGGGGUCAAUAUGAGGGUUUACUCUGGGGUCUGAAAUCCUAUGAACACAGCAGGUGAUCUCUAGGAAGUGACUCUGAGCUGAGUUCUGAGAGAUGAACAAAAAUUAACUAGGCAACCUUUGGAUGCUUCGGACAAAGAAGUGGGCCAAAGUGCAGGAUGUUCAAGGAAUUAAGAUAGGACUUCUGUGGCUGUAACACAGAAAUGGGGAGAGAGGUGGGAAGUAAACUGAGAUAAGUCACUGAGAUAUACUACACACACACGUAUAUAAUGGUAAUACCAUAGCUAUAUCUAUAUCUACUCUCUCAGAAAUCAGGAUUGCUCCCAUGGUUAUAGCGCCACAGUCCUUGAGAAAACAGCUCUGUGACACUUAAUGUUCUUUAGCCUGGAGGGAGGAGAAUUUAGCUCUUCUCCCAGAUUUCCCAGCAGAGUUUGUUAUCCUAAUCAAAGCUAGGCCAGGCUGGUAUCUGCUGUGAGAUGGAAAGGUAUCCAAGGCAUUAGUGACUUAUGGUCCUGUUUGCAGUUCUCUUGUUAGUGCUUUUAUGAGCAAACCUCAGCCUAUUUUGUAAAAGUAGGUUUUUUGUGGAGCAAUCAUACAGCCCCUUCUGUGAAACUUCAAACUGGUAAAUGCCAAACAGGUUUAUGGAAGGUUGAGUCAUGUGACACCCAAACAGCCUCUGACGGGCAGAAUCACCCAGGUUAAGAAUCACUCAGUUGCAGAGGCCAUAAAAGUACUGUUCUUCUCAUUUAAAACUGUUAUACUCAUUUUUGCUUUGCCAUGAAUUCUCUUAGACACUGUAACAUUUAACAAAUGAGAUUCAGAUUUAUCACAAAGCACUGUCAUGUAUAUCUUUUAGUCACUUAUUUCAGCCAAGAUUUAUUAAACAUCUGUUUUGUGUAGGCACUACAUUGGUUGCUAGAGCCACAAGGUCAAAUGAGAUAACCUUGCAAGGAGCCUAGUCUUCAGGGAAGACAAAAAUAAGUGAGUAGUACAUCAUAGGCGCCUGAUAGAAAUGUGGCAGAAGUCUACUGAGGCUUGAGAAGAAAGGUCAGAAACCCAGGUGAGGGGUGGAGCUGUCUGGGAAUGAUAAGACUCAGAAGUGGAACCUGACACAUGGUGUUUUUCAGACUGAUGGAUUUGGGAGAUGGUUGGAGAGCUAUAAGACUUGCAACAAUAUUCUGAGACAUUUAUUAUGAUCCUCUCUGUUUUAACCAUGAGAAUACUGCAAAGUUAAACAUUUAGCUUAAGGUCACUUAGCUAGGUCGCAACAUUAACCUACGAAUUUAACUAUUCCCUGGAUUAACAGUGUUUGCCUUUUCCAACUGGAUACAAUGGAAUAAGAGAGAUUCUGGGAAUAUUCUUGACAAACAGUCCUCUUAAAACAAAACAAAAUUGUAAGGACAAAAAUAAUACUCUCUUAUAUUAAUAUAUAUUUCACAAGGCACAUUCACAGACAUUAUCUCUUAUGAUCCUUCCACCAAUCCUGCCAGUUCCACGGUAGACAUGCAUAUCAACUUUGCUUUAUAGGGAGGAAGGACACUCAGGGGGUUUAGGUACAGAACUCACAAAGCACGCUGCCUUUCUCAGCACGAACACACAGGUCCCAUGGGGCAAUGGACUGCUUCGUUGUAUUUUAGCUUGUCAUUAUAUUUUAGCACCAGGAUACUGCCAUCAUUUUGCUAUCCUUGAUAGCAGUUCAAUUUCUGCACUUACAGCUGAAAUUACAGUGUCUCAAAGCUAAAUUUAAAAGAGCAAUUUACUGCUGUCCCUAUGAAGAAAGAGAACCAAUCAAUGUAAUAAAAAAAAAUUAAGAUCAUUCUGUACUUUGUAUAGUUGCUGUUGCAGAGGGAACAGUGAACUGCCUGUCAUUAUGGAAUAUUUAGAAAGCACAACAGUGCUUGGCCUGAAGUAGGUGCUCAAGAAAUGCAUGUUAGGAGGACAGACAGCUGGAAAAGUGAACGGAUGGAUGAGAAGGCAGAUGGAAGGAUGGCUGCUUCCAGGAAUGAGAUGGUGACCUGCUCUCAACACCAUGACCUAUAUCGUCUACCUCCAUUUUCUGUUAGGAACAAGCUCUUUGUCACUGGCUUCCAUGGGGUCUCUAAUCCCAGUUCUUGUCUAAAAGAAGAAUAAGAACAGGUGAAAAAAAUAUUGCAAUUGUGGGGGAACAAAAUUGUCACCACAAAAUAUCUCUUUGGCAUGUGGAUCAUGUCAAGCCGAAAACAAGCCCCAAAAGACUCAGAAAGAAACCUGGACCUUCUCCCAAACGCCUAAAGAGUGUGGAUGGAGGACCUGUUCCAGGAGCCAGCACCAUAGACAAUUUCUUCCUCCCCUUUCUACUAUAUCUGGUUAGUCACCAAGUCCUGUCGCACCUCCCACUUGGGGGGGUAUUUCAAAAUUAGCUCUUAAUUUCCAUUUCCAUCUUAUUCGUUCUUCGGCUCAGAUCCCAUCACCUCAUUUGUAGGCUGUUACCCUAAUAUACCAACUAGUCUAUCUUCACAUUUUUUUCUGUUUUUUUCUUGGGCGCCCUGUUCCAACUAAUAUUUAAAUACUUCCUUUUUUUGUUUCUUUUGCCUUCAGUGACUGCACAUGAUAAAGUUCAAUUUUCUUAUUCUAUCAUCCUGAGCCUCCCACACUGAGGCUCUUCCUAUUUUAUCUCUGCAAGGACCUACUCAAACCUGAGUAGUCUCUUCAUUGUACCCCAAACACGUUUUACACAUCACCUCCCAUGGUUCAUUCUUGUCCAAUGUUUACUGAGAAUCUUCUGCAUAAGCUAUGUAUUAGAUCAUAAGUAUUGAGAAAAGGACAAAAUAUUAAAAGACAAACUGAGCUCAAGGAGCUCAGCUUGCUGGGGAAGAAAAUAAAAUAAAUAAAGUAAGCUAUUUUAUUAGAGAGUGAAGAUACUGCAUUAGGAUAAGAACAAGAGGACCUCAGGGGAGGGAUAACCCUAGACUAAAUCUCACAUGUCCUUCUUUGAGUCACUUCCGUAUCUGGAGUUCAAUACUUUCAUGUUAUAAUUCUACAUCUACCAUAGUUUGCAAUCAUUUACCCUGACGUCAGAGAUAGACUCACACUUACCUCUGGUCCUAAAAACCCAGUUCAGUGACAGACCACCACACAUCAGCACACACAUCAGUGAGCAGUCCUAGGUUACUCACUCUGAGAGAGGUGCCAUGCUGAACAAUUUAUUCACACUUUCCCAAGUGACUUCCACAAUGCGGUAGGUAUAAUUCAUGUAUUACAGUGCCUCUGUUUUACACAGUGAUAGCAAAUAACUCACCCAACAACUAUUCAGUGGAGGAGCCAGGAUUAGAACCCCCAACAGUAUGAUGCCAAAGCCCAUGCUCUUAAUUGCUUCCAAAUAUUAACAUAUAAAUGAUGUACUAAUGAAUGAAUACAUGUUCCUCUCUCUCUGUAGAAGGUUUUUCUCCCUCUAGGACUUCACAAAGCCUGAGAACAGGUCAACCACAUGCAAACAUUAUUUUUCUUUCCCUUUAAAAUGAGAGCUGUUGAAGUGGGAUUGAUAAAAGUGAAAUUAGUCAUCCCAGGGAAGCCACAAGCUCCAGGCACAUCCAAGGUGCUGGGACAGAUGAGAAGUGUGCUGAGCUCUGAAGGCUGAUGCUGAAAGUGCUGGGAAUGGAGCCUACACAGUUAUCUAGAGGUGAUCACUUUAUGUGUUCUGCAUUAUGUGACCAACAAAAUAAUGGAUCCAAGGUGACAACUGCAGCAGAGGCAGAUGGCUGCUUUCUGGAGGACUCCACGAGGGCUCUUUCCCUGGCCAGUCCAGCUGCCUUACUUUGUCCUCUCUACUGGGAGAUGUCUUCUCGUUCUUCUCCAGCUGCAAGCCCUUCAAGAGACUUUCAAGAAUUCAAGAGACAUUCAAGAAUUACAGGGGAGGAAGCUUGACUGUGCAGAGGGAAAAUGAGCUAUGCUGGGGUUGGCAGGAUUUGGUAGCUGUUCCUCCUUGGCCACUGUAACAGAGCAGGUUCAAAGUGAAGUACGACUCUUUUAAGUUUAAUGUCCUAAAGUCUUUCCCCUUGAGCUCAAGUACUUCUUCACCAAGUCACUUUCUAAAGGAGAGGAAUACUAUACGUCUGGAUCUGAUUUUUAAAACUCCAGAUUGCAGUCUGGAUCUCUGCAAGUUUCACAUUAAGGGACAAUAUUUUUGUGGCCCAUACAGGGACCAGAGGGGACCCCUAUUGGCUGUUAAGCAAACAGGUGUGGAACCCACAACUGAGUCCACUGAAUGCACUGCUUUUCUUGCCCACCCUGGAGUAUGAAGUUAUGUCUUUCUCCUGGAUCCAAGAUCACAUUCCUCUGCAUCUGAAGAUCUCCAGGCUUUAUUUGGGAUCUAUUUUAAGGUUUCAUCCUUUCUGUUUAAGGCCUUGUUCUGUAUGUUCUAUAGUUGUUUGACACUUUGGUCUGAUUUUGAGAAUAGACUGUUUUAAC
rnacentral:lncRNA from 1 species